AUUGAACGCUGGCGGCAUGCCUUACACAUGCAAGUCGAACGGCAGCACGGGAGCAAUCCUGGUGGCGAGUGGCGAACGGGUGAGUAAUAUAUCGGAACGUGCCCAGUAGUGGGGGAUAACUGCUCGAAAGAGCAGCUAAUACCGCAUACGACCUGAGGGUGAAAGGGGGGGAUCGCAAGACCUCUCGCUAUUGGAGCGGCCGAUAUCAGAUUAGCUAGUUGGUGGGGUAAAGGCCUACCAAAGCAACGAUCUGUAGUUGGUCUGAGAGGACGACCAGCCACACUGGGACUGAGACACGGCCCAGACUCCUACGGGAGGCAGCAGUGGGGAAUUUUGGACAAUGGGCGCAAGCCUGAUCCAGCGAUGCCGCGUGCAGGAAGAAGGCCUUCGGGUUGUAAACUGCUUUUGUCAGGGAAGAAAUCCUCUAGGUUAAUACCCUUGGGGGGAUGACGGUACCUGAAGAAUAAGCACCGGCUAACUACGUGCCAGCAGCCGCGGUAACAC
rnacentral:rRNA from 1 species